UGUUAAAAAUUCUAUUUGUUUGUACUGUUAAAAGGUGACAUGCUCGACAAAAUAAUCAGACAAUAACAUUUGGGUUGUCAUAUGUACAUCAUGCAAGUGUAUAACGACCGGUUAGUAAAAAUGGAUGCAAUUUUUAACA
rfam:Gossypium hirsutum cultivar TM-1 chromosome 16, whole genome shotgun sequence